rnacentral:rRNA from 1 species
AUUGAACGCUGGCGGUAGGCUUAACACAUGCAAGUCGAGCGGGGUGUGGUGUGCUUGCACACUAACACUUAGCGGCGAACGGGUGAGUAAAGCUUAGGAAUCUGGCUAUUAAUGGGGGACAACGUUUCGAAAGGGACGCUAAUACCGCAUGGGCCCUACGGGGGAAAGCAGGGGAUCUUUUAGACCUUGCGUUAAUAGAUGAGCCUAAGUCGGAUUAGCUAGUUGGUGGGGUAAAGGCCUACCAAGGCGACGAUCUGUAGCGGGUCUGAGAGGAUGAUCCGCCACACUGGGACUGAGACACGGCCCAGACUCCUACGGGAGGCAGCAGUGGGGAAUAUUGGACAAUGGGGGGCACCCUGAUCCAGCCAUACCGCGUGUGUGAAGAAGGCCUUAUGGUUGUAAAGCACUUUAAGCGAGGAGGAGGCUACUUUGGUUAAUACCUGAAGCUAGUGGACGUUACUCGCAGAAUAAGCACCGGCUAACUCUGUGCCAGCCGCCGCAGUAA